AACCUCCGCAAUGUGAGAAAUCGCGACGGGGGGAUCCCAAGUGCCAUUCUUAACGGGAUGGCUUUUCUUAAGUGUAAAAAGCUUUUGGAAUAAGAGCUGGGCAAGACCGGUGCCAGCCGCCGCGGUAACACCGGCAGCUCUAGUGGUAGCUGUUUUUAUUGGGCCUAAAGCGUUCGUAGCCGGUUUGAUAAGUCACUGGUGAAAUCCUGUAGCUUAACUGUGGGAAUUGCUGGUGAUACUGUUGAACUUGAGGUCGGGAGAGGUUAGCGGUACUCCCAGGGUAGAGGUGAAAUUCUGUAAUCCUGGGAGGACCACCUGUGGCGAAGGCGGCUAACUGGAACGAACCUGACGGUGAGGGACGAAAGCUAGGGGCGCGAACCGGAUUAGAUACCCGGGUAGUCCUAGCCGUAAACGAUGCGGACUUGGUGUUGGGUGGCUUUGAGCUGCUCCAGUGCCGAAGGGAAGCUGUUAAGUCCGCCGCCUGGGAAGUACGGUCGCAAGACUGAAACUUAAGGAAUU
rnacentral:rRNA from 1 species